GACGAACGCUGGCGGCGUGCUUAACACAUGCAAGUCGAACGGAAAGGCCCUGCUUGCAGGGUGCUCGCGUGGCGAACGGGUGAGUAACACGUGGGUGAUCUGCCCCUUACUUUGGGAUAAGCCUGGGAAACUGGGUCUAAUACUGGAUAGGACCAUGCUGUAGGUGGUGUGGUGGAAAGAUUAGUUUCGGUAAGGGAUGAGCUCGCGGCCUAUCAGCUUGUUGGUGGGGUAAUGGCCUACCAAGGCGUCGACGGGUAGCCGGCCUGAGAGGGUGGACGGCCACAUUGGGACUGAGAUGCGGCCCAGAAUCCUACGGGAGGCAGCAGUGGGGAAUAUUGCACAAUGGGCGCAAGCCUGAUGCAGCGACGCCGCGUGGGGGAUGACGGCCGUCGGGUUGUAAACUCCUUUCAGCCAUGACGAAGCCCUUGUGGUGACGGUAGUGGUAGAAGAAGCACCGGCUAACUACGUG
rnacentral:rRNA from 1 species